AGUCAUAUGCUUGUCUUAAGGAUUAAGCCAUGCAUGUCUCAGUACAAACGAUUUUGUACGGUUGAAACUGCGAAUGGCUCAUUACAACAGUUAUAGUUUAUUUGAUCGUGCGGCGCUACGUGGAUACCCGUAGGAAUUCUAGAGCUAAUACAUGCACCAUUGCGCCGGGAGAGCGUGGCAGGAUGAAAUCAUAAUAACUAUCCGAAUCGCAUGGCGGUAUGAUUUGGCCGGCGAUAAAUCAUUCAAAUUUCUGCCCUAUCAACUUUCGAUGGUAGGGUAGUGGCCUACCAUGGUGUUGACGGGUGACGGAGAAUUAGGGUUCGAUUCCGGAGAGGGAGCCUGAGAAAUGGCUACCACAUCCAAGGAAGGCAGCAGGCGCGCAAAUUACCCAAUCCUGAUUCAGGGAGGUAGCGACAAGAAAUAACGAUUGCGGACUCAUUCGAGCCUGUUAAUUGGAAUGAGGAUAAUUUUACA
rnacentral:rRNA from 1 species